UACGUAGGGUGCGAGCGUUAAUCGGAAUUACUGGGCGUAAAGCGUGCGCAGGCGGUCUGUUAAGACCGAUGUGAAAAUCCCCCGGGCUUAACCUGGGGAACUGCAUUGGUGACUGGCAGGCUUUGAGUGUGGCAGAGGGAGGUAGAAUUCCACGUGUAGCAGUGAAAUGCGUAGAGAUGUGGAGGAAUACCGAUGGCGAAGGCAGCCUCCUGGGCCAACACUGACGCUCAUGCACGAAAGCGUGGGGAGCAAACAGG
rnacentral:rRNA from 1 species